UACGUAGGGUCCAAGCGUUAUCCGGAAUUAUUGGGCGUAAAGAGCGUGUAGGCGGUCCGGUAAGUCACCUGUGAAACCUCUAGGCUCAACCUAGAGCCUGCAGGCGAAACUGCCGUGCUUGAGGGUGGGAGAGGUGCGUGGAAUUCCCGGUGUAGCGGUGAAAUGCGUAGAUAUCGGGAAGAACACCCGUGGCGAAGGCGGCUCUCUGGGACGGUACUGACGCUGAGACGCGAAAGCGUGGGGAGCGAACAGG
rnacentral:rRNA from 1 species